CCUACGGGAGGCAGCAGUGAGGAAUAUUGGUCAAUGGGCGAGAGCCUGAACCAGCCAAGUCGCGUGAAGGAUGAAGGAUCUAUGGUUUGUAAACUUCUUUUAUAUGGGAAUAAAGUGAGGAACGUGUUCCUUUUUGUAUGUACCAUAUGAAUAAGCAUCGGCUAACUCCGUGCCAGCAGCCGCGGUAAUACGGAGGAUGCGAGCGUUAUCCGGAUUUAUUGGGUUUAAAGGGUGCGUAGGCGGGAUGCCAAGUCAGCGGUAAAAAUGCGGUGCUCAACGCCGUCGAGCCGUUGAAACUGGCGUUCUUGAGUGGGCGAGAAGUAUGCGGAAUGCGUGGUGUAGCGGUGAAAUGCAUAGAUAUCACGCAGAACUCCGAUUGCGAAGGCAGCAUACCGGCGCCCUACUGACGCUGAGGCACGAAAGCGUGGGUAUCGAACAGGAUUAGAUACCCCAGUAGUC
rnacentral:rRNA from 1 species